rnacentral:lncRNA from 1 species
GGAGGGGCAGAGAGAGAGGGAGACACAGAAUCGGAAACAGGCUCCAGGCUCUGAGCCAUCAGCCCAGAGCCCGACGCAGGGCUCGAACUCACGGACCGCGAGAUCGUGACCUGGCUGAAGUCGGACGCGUAACCGACUGCGCCACCCAGGCGCCCCAGUCUUUUUUUUUUUUUUUAACAGCUAAUGGGAACUUUGAUGUUGGUAUCUUAAUGGAUGGAAUGGAUGGAAUAAAAGCCAAAACAGGAGAGGUUGAGGUCAAUGACAUGAAAAAAGUUCCAGGAAACAGAGGGAUAGAACUCAAAGAUAAGAAACAGGGAGAGUUGGUGAACAAUCUGCCAGUCGAUGGUG